rnacentral:lncRNA from 1 species
UCAGAAUCAACAGGACUGCUGUUGUCACGUGAGCUCAGUCUACACUCUAGAAGGGGCUUUGGUGACAUUCUCAUUUAGACCAUGAAGACCAGUGCAGACCUCAGGUGACAGAAAUCUCACAAAGCUGAGUGCAGUGGCUCACAAGUAUAACUCAGCAGCCAGGAAGCUGAUGCAAGGUUGGGGCCCGUCUAAGCUACAGAGUGUGUGCUAGACCAUCUUGUAGGUAAAAAAUUCAGGAUUGAACGGCUUAAUGCCUGAAGGAAUGGCAAAGACACCAGGGCUAACCAGGAGCAGAGGCUUCUCAUCCUGCACAACUGGUUCUGAUCACAGCUCCCAAUACUUGGCCCCGGCAGUGAGAAUAACCAUUCUCUACUCGGAAUGAAGUUAAACAGAACCACUCCUGGAGAAGCGAGCAGAGCUGGCUGAGUGGCCCUGCUUUCCCGCUGCAUCCUGCCAUCCGGGCAUGCUGCACCAGCUCAACGGCAGCAGUCUCCAUGUGGGAAAUGCAGUCGCCAUGCAAUGCACGCCACAUAACGCACAGGACAAGUGAGAGAGGGUACGGACUCCAUGGCCUAGGGAAUCAAGACAGAGACACGAGUACCUCUGCUUCUGCACUGGCCAGCUGCUGCUCACGGGUCUCUAGCUCCGUGAGGGCCUUCUGAAGUUUGCCUUCUAGAAUACUGUAUUCAGCUACCUAAAACACAGAAAAAGAAAAAUGAUCUUCAUGUUCAAGACAACACAUACCUCACUAAACAGGAUUUGGGAAUGAGAAAAAAGCAUAACAUGUACGGAGGCAGACACGCUUCUGAGAAAGGAAGACAAGCAUGCUUCCACACAGCCCGCUGUCCUACUGAGAGGUCAGGUGCUGCAGAAAUCCUCUGCAUCUGUUCCAGUGCCCGUUUCUUUAGGCCCAUGACCUAGAUUCUGACUUGGUUUGGUUUGGUUUUGUAGAGACAGAACCUCUCUUGGGAGCUCUGAUUGUCCUGGAACUCACUAUGUUCACCAGGAUAGCCAUGAACUCCACCCAAAUGCUGGAAUUAAAGGUGGGGUCAUCCAAACCUCAGAACACAAAAAAUGCAUCUACUGUCCUCUCUGAAAUGGUACGUUGCAGUCUAGAUGGCUGAAAAGCUAACAGUGACAGCACUGGAUACCUUGGGCACAUAAGGAUGCCAUGCUCUGGUGGAGCACUGAUGACCACACCUCCGCUCUGCUGU